rnacentral:rRNA from 1 species
GAGGGGGUCGCGGCUGAUUAGCUAGUUGGCGGGGUAAUGGCCCACCAAGGCGAAGAUCGGUAUCCGGCCUGAGAGGGCGCACGGACACACUGGAACUGAAACACGGUCCAGACUCCUACGGGAGGCAGCAGUGGGGAAUUUUGCGCAAUGGGGGAAACCCUGACGCAGCAACGCCGCGUGGAGGAUGAAGUCCCUUGGGACGUAAACUCCUUUCGACCCGGACGAUACUGACGGUACGGGUGGAAGAAGCACCGGCUAACUCUGUGCCAGCAGCCGCGGUAAUACAGAGGGUGCGAGCGUUGUUCGGAAUUAUUGGGCGUAAAGGGCGCGUAGGCGGUGCCACAAGUCACCUGUGAAAUCUCCUGGCUCAACUGGGAGCUUGCAGGCGAAACUGUGGUGCUGGAGUGUGGGAGAGGUGCGUGGAAUUCCCGGUGUAGCGGUGAAAUACGUAGAUAUCGGGAGG